CUCUGUCUCUUAAUUAAUAAUAGAAUUUAAUUUUUUAAUUAAAAAGUUAAAAUGAUUUAAAAAGACGAGAAGACCCUAUAGAGUUUUAUAAAUAAAUUAAUUAAGAUUAUUUAAUAAUAUAAAAUUAAAAUUAAUUUAUUUAUUUUAUUGGGGUGAUAGAAAAAUAUAUUUAACUUUUUUUUAACAAAAACAUUUAUAAGUGGUUAAAUGAUCCAGUAUUAUUGAUUAUAAGAAAAAAUUACCUUAGGGAUAACAGCGUAAUUUUUUUUUUUAGUUCAUAUAAGAAAAAGAGUUUGCGACCUCGAUGUUGGAUUAAGAUAAAAUUUAAAUGCAGAAG
rnacentral:rRNA from 1 species